rnacentral:rRNA from 1 species
AGUGAACGCUGGCGGUAGGCCUAACACAUGCAAGUCGAACGGCAGCACAGUAAGAUCUUGCUCUUACGGGUGGCGAGUGGCGGGCGGGUGAGGAAUACAUCGGAAUCUACUUUUUCGUGGGUGAUAACGUAGGGCCACUUACGCUAAUACCGCAUACGACCUACGGGUGAAAGCAGGGGAUCUUCGGACCUUGCGCGAUUGAAUGAGCCGAUGUCGGAUUAGCUAGUUGGCUGGGUAAAGGCCCACCAAGGCGACGAUCCGUAGCUGGUCUGAGAGGAUGAUCAGCCACACUGGAACUGAGACACGGUCCAGACUCCUACGGGAGGCAGCAGUGGGGAAUAUUGGACAAUGGGCGCAAGCCUGAUCCAGCCAUACCGCGUGAGUGAAGAAGGCCUUCGGGUUGUAAAGCCCUUUUGUUGGGAAAGAAAAGCAGCAGGUUAAUACCCCGCUGUUCUGACGGUACCCAAAGAAUAAGCACCGGCUAACUUCGUG